GGCUGAAUUAUACCACCAUUCUUGCUAACCCCAAGCCGACAUUUUUGGUGUGGAAGCACCUGCACCGUAAAUAAGAUUCCAAACAUAUGUUUAACCUUUCGCUUUACCCAUCUGUCUAAGGAUGGUAAGCAGUGCUGCUGUGUAGUUUAAUCCCUAGCAUUCUGAAUAAUUCCUGCCAAAAUUGACCUAUAAAUAUCUUAUCACGGUCAGAGAUAAU
rnacentral:misc_RNA from 1 species